GCUGAAGUAGCACUCAUGCGAGCUCCUUUAGCUGGACUUGGAGACAAAGGCUGACUUAGUUGGGGCUGUGUGGGGAUAUUAACUCUACCAAUUCCCCUCGGUGGAGCAUCAGCAACAGAUGAGGUUGGUUUACGGGAAGGUAAGGUUGUUGCAUCUUCUUCCUUGGCCGCCACUGGAGACAAACUUCCCAUGCUUUCUGAGGAAGUCUGAACAGGAAUGGAAGUUGAUAAAGCAACUGGUGCAUUUGGAACACUACUGACGGGCACAUUCAAACUUGGACGUUCCCCAACGGGUGUUGAUGGUGCUGAGUGAAGGGCCCCAUUCUUUUGGGGAGGGGUUUUUGGAAGUGUCUCAGAAUUGCUAUCCGGUAAAGUUGUAUCGUCAGUCUUCUCUUGAGAAGUGCUCUGAUGGUGUGUUGGCAAACUUAUGCUCUGAAACAAAGCCAAAAAUAAAGAAACAUAAACAAAAAGUUCUUAAAACAAAAGGAUAUAGGAAUACUUACCCGAACUUGAGAUGCUGACGCUGCCACAGAACUCUUCAUGCUCAGAGGAGUACCCUGAAAAAAUUUAAGUCGUGUUACUGCUAAUAUAACGCCAAAUGUCCUGAAUUUAUCCCUUUCAAAACGAUUCCUCAAUUUGUGACAGAUACAGCAUUUCAUGUUUCCGGAGAGAGAGAAAGCAAAUAGAAAAUUUGAAAGAAAAAGUUACCUUGACGAGGGGGCCAGCAGUUACUAGAUCUUCAAGACCCUCCACCUCAUCUAGUGGCAACGUGCUAUAGAGCUCAUCAACAUCACUGAAUUCGUCAAAAUCAUCCUACAUAAUCCAGGAGAAAUAUUAGCCUACUGAUAAAAUUGGAAACCCACAGUAAAUCAUAUGAACACACAUCUAAGCAAAAUAUUCCAGGUUAUAGAUAACGCAGACCUGAUUUCGUUCAACAUAAUCAUCCAGAAAAUCUUUGACGUCAUUUACUUGUUCUGGACUUAAUUCAUCAUUGUCCAGAAGCCUCAAUAUCAAUUCCAACUUUAUUAUAUGAUCCUUGUGUCUUGUGAUAGAUGUCUCGAGAUGUGUCUAAAAAACAAAACAGAUAUUUGACAAAAUUUACCACAAGGAAGGAAUUAUAGCAUUAGCAUACCGAUGAAUAUUUUACAGAGCUUACCAAUCUGGGCGGCCUUGACUUUCCUUUUUUGACAGAUAGUCCUUCCAACUCAGCUUCAAAGCUAUCAAUCUGCGACUCGAGUUCACUCACCUAUCAAAAGCAAGAAAAUGAGCAGUGAAUCAGCUACAGAAAUGAUUUAUGAUUGACAAUCCGUAAGGAUCUCACCACCUAGUUUCCAUAGCAGAUCAACCUUAUUAGCCUAGGGGUUUGAUAAACACCACUAACAUAAAUUCGCUUUGACGUUUCUCUUAAGGGGUUCAAGAAUAAGAAAUUAAGCAUGGAGGCGCCAGUAACUUACCACAUUGUUCAACCAAUCUCUUGUUUCUGACUUUGCUUUCUCUUUGGGGUCCUAUUAAACAUGAAGCAGAAACAAUCAGUAGCCUGACUACCAAAAAGAGGUUUAAGUAAUAUGUAAAUCCACCCAAAGUAGUUCCAACAGAUUUCACAAAACCAGAAAUGUUUUGAUUAUCAAUGACAUUGUUAGAAGGAAAAAUAGUUCAUAUCUACAAACACUUAAAUAUCACAUUUAAUUUAGAUGAAGAAUAAAUAAAUCAAAGGAAACACAACGUUUUGGAGAAACUCUUACAGUUUUAGGUUGCUGACCCAGUCCUUCCUUAGAGAAUGCUUUUGUCUUGGUCUCUUUCUCACAUAUUUUAAACCUCUCCAUUUCUCGCUCAAUGAGCUUCCGAGCGUCAACCAGGGAUUGCUCAUAUGAUGCACUCACCUAAAUCAAAUGACAGACAAAAAAAUCUGGCUUAGUUCAAUCUAGAACAAACGGGUAGUAAGAUUCCUUCAAAAGGUGUAGAAGAUGAAGGAAGAACACUGACUUUUUUAUCUUUGAUCUCACUAGACUGAAUCCAAGUCUUGAUCUGGUCCCUAUACCGCUGCAGCUUCUUAAUCUCCUUCUUCAAGUCAGCCUCAAACUUUUCCUUUUGGUUAACAUUAUCCGUAUCAUAGACCUGAAACACACCAAAAAAGAGCCCGGGUUGGUUGGUUUGUCCUCUGUCCAAGUAAUAAAACUUUAUUCUGCGUGUCGAAAACAAACACUCUGCUCACAUUCCACUGCAUAAAACAACAAACAUGGAGCUCCCAUUUUUGAGUUCCACUGACCAAAACAACUUUACUCACAAACAAACAAACAAAAAUUAAUGUUUCAAUCGCAUCAAAACCAUUCCAUUGCUUUAAAUGCAAACAAUCAUCUCGAACACUCCUUCAGUAAACUCAAUCCUAUAUUUCGAAGCUAUAUACUAUAGAUCUUCCUGCAUUAUCCAUAUCAUUCGAAUUCAAAUAUGAAACGAUAGGAGGUGAUCGAGGCCCAGGGAAAAGCUCUACCUUGUUCCAGAUGCUGUCGAAGACAUCAACACCUUCCUGAACCUUCUUCAGCACCCGAUCUAUCUCGCCUUGUAGCUUCCGACUCGCUCCCAUUACAGCUCAGCCAGAGAAGUAUUAGGGUUUCCUCUGAUUCGAUUGGUGAAUAGAAGUUAGGGUUUCACUUUCAGAGGAAGACGAUGAUGAUUGUGUAACACUAUCGAUGAAUUGAUUGGAUGUAAAGGAUGAUGUAAUAAUAAGAAAGAGUUGAAGUAUACGUGUUAGAUAUUGACGGCCCAAUCUAUAAGUUUUUAGUGGGCUUUUUUAUUAUCAUAUUUACCCCUCUUAUUUUUAUUUCUUUCUGAAUGACACCCUCAGUUUUUGUUCUUUUCAAUUAUUCACUAGAGAACUCAAGUUUUCCCCAAAUGUGAAGAAGUCUAGCCAUGUUUCUUGAAUAAAUUACUGAUCAUUUAGAAAAAAUAGAAAUUAGUUUUAAUUUAGUGAUGACUUAGAACAUCUUUAACGCAAGGUUCUUCCCCAAAAUUUUCAUCCUUUAAAAAAUAAAAUUAAUUAUAAAAUAGGAGAAAGAGUAAAGAUAAGUUUUUGUUUUACACUUUUUUAGAUAUUUUGAAUAACGGAUUUUACGACUCUCUUGAAAAUUAAAGUGUUAAUGUUCAGAAAAAAACUGAAAAUGGACAUACAAAUAAAAUAGUAAUAAUUCUAUUUUUUUUUUAAACUAUUACAGUACAUAUCUGUUAAAGGUGCUCUUACGAUGUACUCAAAUACUCACAAAUUUUGUUUCAUGGGGUGUUUAAUGACUUUCAAAAAAAAAUAUGAACAAAACAAAGCAAAAGUUUAACAACAGCCCAUACAUACAAGAUACAACAGCAUAUUUAAUGCAAAGUUUUGUAUAUCUUUUUCAUGUGAAUUCAAUUUACAGAAUUGUAAUGCUUAGGCGGGCCAACAAAAUUAUUGUGGGUAAAAUCAAAAUUCUACAAAACUUUCAGGGACGCAAAAAUUAUGGUGGACUUCGUCUUGUCCAAAAACAGAGGAAGAAGCAAAACAGAGAGCAGAAACCCUUCACGACCCGAAAGCAGCUUCUUGGACUCUUCUUCUUCUUCCUACUAAGAAAAAAUGGUGGAUUCAAACCAUGAGACCGAGAUCAGAUGCCACCAUUGCGCAGGCUCACUUACGAAAAAUUUGGUAUUUUACGCAUCCAGCAUCAAUCUGUAUUACACAGAUCUAUACUGAAGAUGAUUAAUGAUUCUGAUUGAUUUCAGGAAACGAGUGAAUGGACUGUGUCUCCGUUCAUCAGGGACAGCUUUUCUAUGGUAAGUUUUGUUUGAUGAUCAAGUUCCGACUCUUUUAGUCUAACUAUAGCUUUGCUGCAAUUGUCAACAAGUUUGGUCCUUUGACGUUGAGAACUCAAACUUUCCUUUCUGGCAUGAUCUACAUCUGCAAAAACAUCAAGAACAUGUCUCUUACUUUUUCGUCUGCAUUUUCAAGAUAUUGAAACCAAAAACUGAGCUCCAACAACUCUAGGGGGGUUUAAUUAACUGCCAAUAGAUUAGAAAAGACAAUCUCUUAUUAUGAUGCAAUACUUUGGGUAUCAUAAAUCAUGUGAUUGUACCACAAAAUUUAAAAUAAUCGCGCUCAAGACCUGGCAAGUACACAACCUAUAAAAAAAACGCUACCUGCUGUAAAAGCGGAUUUUGCUGUUGUGAAGAAAACUGCUUCUCGUUUCUUUCGGAUAGAGAAGCCAUGCCUAAGAGGUUACCAUGGCCUUGUCGUACUUGCUGGUACCGCUGUAAGAAUUUCUCCCUUUGAUCUGGUGAUAUUUCAGUUCUUCCACGGACCAAGAAGUGAAACCACAAACCAUAACAUUGUUCAGACUACCCACUUAUAUAGUGCAAAGGUCCUACAGAACCUAUAAAAAAAACGCUACCUGCAGUAAAAGCGGAUUUUGCUGUUGUGAAGAAAACUGCUUCUCGUUUCUUUCGGAUAGUACUUGCUGGUACCGCUGUAAGAAUUUCUCCCUUUGAUCUGGUGAUAUUUCAGUUCUUCCACGGACCUAGAAGUGAAACCACAAACCAUAACAUUAUUCAGACUACCAACUUAUAUAGUGCAAAGGUCCUACAGAUCCUUGGUAUUAUAGUCGAAUUCAAAACACGCACCGUUUCAUUCUGACUCUGAAAGGGACUCCCAGGCCUCCACUGCAAACCAGAUACAAUAGACGGUGAAUAAGCUCUACCGAUGCUUGCCGCAACAUCACCAGGGUUACCAUCAGAGAUAGUUCCAUCAUUACCCUUCGCAGCUGGUGGUAGUACCAUUUUGCUGAGCGGAGAGGUUAGAGGUUGGACAUUGCUCUCAACUCCCAUUAUUUUUCUCUUUGCAAUUUCAGCUGCUGAAGAAGUCGCACCAGUGCCGUUAGCUGCACUUGGAGACAAAGGCUGACUCAGUUGAGGCUGGGUGGGGAAAUUAACUCUACCAAUGCCCCUCGGUGGAGCAUCAGCAACAGAUGAGGUUGGUUUACGGGAAGGCAAGGUUGUUGCAUCUUCUUCCUUGGCCGCCACUGUAGACAAACUUCCCAUCCUUUCUGUGGAAGUCUGAACAGGAACGGAAGUUGAUAAAGCAACUGGUGCAUUAGGAACACUACUGACAGG
rnacentral:lncRNA from 1 species